GACGAAGGAUGCAAGCGUUAUCCGGAUUCAUUGGGUUUAAAGGGUGCGUAGGCGGACUGAUAAGUCAGUGGUGAAAUCUCUUUGCUUAACAAAGAAACUGCCAUUGAUACUGUCGGUCUAGAGUAUAGAUGACGUUGGCGGAAUAUGACAUGUAGUGGUGAAAUACUUAGAUAUGUCAUAGAACACCGAUUGCGAAGGCAGCUCGCUGGGACGGUACUGACGCUGAGGCGCGAAAGCGUGGGGAGCAAACAGG
rnacentral:rRNA from 1 species